rnacentral:rRNA from 1 species
UACAGAGGUCUCAAGCGUUGUUCGGAUUCAUUGGGCGUAAAGGGUGCGUAGGCGGCGCGGUAAGUCGGGUGUGAAAUCUCGGAGCUUAACUCCGAAACUGCAUUCGAUACUGCCGUGCUUGAGGACUGGAGAGGAGACUGGAAUUUACGGUGUAGCGGUGAAAUGCGUAGAGAUGUGGAGGAACACCAGUGGCGAAGGCGACUCUUUGGCCUGUAACUGACACUGAGGCGCGAAAGCGUGGGGAGCAAACAGG